rnacentral:rRNA from 1 species
UACGUAGGGUGCAAGCGUUGUCCGGAAUUAUUGGGCGUAAAGGGCUCGUAGGCGGUUUGUCACGUCGGGAGUGAAAACUCAGGGCUUAACCCUGAGCCUGCUUCCGAUACGGGCAGACUAGAGGUAUGCAGGGGAGAAUGGAAUUCCUGGUGUAGCGGUGAAAUGCGCAGAUAUCAGGAGGAACACCGGUGGCGAAGGCGGUUCUCUGGGCAUUACCUGACGCUGAGGAGCGAAAGUGUGGGGAGCGAACAGG